rnacentral:rRNA from 1 species
GAUGAACGCUGGCGGCGUGCCUAAUACAUGCAAGUCGAGCGAACAGACGAGGAGCUUGCUCCUCUGACGUUAGCGGCGGACGGGUGAGUAACACGUGGAUAACCUACCUAUAAGACUGGGAUAACUUCGGGAAACCGGAGCUAAUACCGGAUAAUAUAUUGAACCGCAUGGUUCAAUAGUGAAAGACGGUUUUGCUGUCACUUAUAGAUGGAUCCGCGCCGCAUUAGCUAGUUGGUAAGGUAACGGCUUACCAAGGCAACGAUGCGUAGCCGACCUGAGGGGGUGAUCGGCCACACUGGAACUGAGACACGGUCCAGACUCCUACGGGAGGCAGCAGUAGGGGAUCUUCCGCAAUGGGCGAAAGCUUGACGGAGCAACGCCGCGUGAGUGAUGAAGGUCUUCGGAUCGUAAAACUCUGUUAUUAGGGAAGAACAAAUGUGUAAGUAACUAUGCACGUCUUGACGGUACCUAAUCAGAAAGCCACGGCUAACUACGUG